CCGGCGCUGGGCGCUACAGCGGCUCCCGGUGCGCCCCUCACCAGGUAGCCGCUCUCCUCUCUGGUGUGGUUGGAAGAAGAGCCUCCCGCCCCAGCUGUCCCUUCCGAGUGGGCCUCGGUGUCUGGGCUAUCUAGACGGAGCUGCCAUUUCCACCUGGAGGUCUGGGUCUGUUGCUCACAGGGCCUCUGCAUAGGCUGGGACUGCCGGCUAGGCCAGGAGACCUGGCAGCUGCGGACUCCCCAGCUCGGAGCAGCCCCUCUUUGGUGAGUGGUAGAGCCCUUCCUGCCUUUGCUCUGGGAGCAGCCCCAGCCCUCCUCCAGGGCCCGGGAGCUGAGCCAGCCUCUCUUGGGGGCGACUUCCAGAUGCUCAGGCUGGCACCUUGCUCUGGACCUUCCCUGGUGUCCUGCCCUGCCCUCCUGCCCUGCCCCUACCUU
rnacentral:lncRNA from 1 species